UAUUUUUUUGCAAUAAUACUUCAUAAGAGAUGAUUUUUGCUCAAGCUCAUGCAACAUAGAUCGGAAUGACGGUCCAUCCUCAUAAUUCUCUGGGAAUAUAACGGUCUUGGUAUUAAUCAAUGAAAGCUCCGUCUUCGCUUCCGGAGAUUGAGGAGGUUGGGUUUGUACCGUCUGGCUAGUAGUUAGCGGCGACGUGACACGCUGGCUUUCCGAAAAAAAUGUAUCAUCCAUAGAAUCACCGCAACGAGAUACGGUGUAGUAGCUAAAUUUUGAGAUACGUUCAAGAGUACAGUCUUCAGUAGAGUAAACGGCUAUGCAAGAAUAGUUUUUGCAUUCAUACUCCAGAAGUUUACCCGAAGGAGGUGACCACUCCCAAUGAUAUCUGAUAUUGGCCGCAUUUGAAUCUGGUAAAAAAAUUUCAUGUACAUUAUCCGAAGAAAUUAAGUCUGCAUAUUUCAACUUCUGAGCAAAAAAAGAAUCAAACGAUUGAAGCGAUUCGCAAUGGAUGAGUACAAGUACUUUCCUCUCCUUCUGCAACUGGAGAACACGAUCACUGAAUAAAAAGUAGAAGUCUAGCUUGUUUUGAAAACUAAACUUAGGGAGGCACUCUUUUGAUGUAGAAUCCUAAUUUUUACAAAGUUAGUAAAAUCGUAUAUGGAAAUAAGAA